AUUGAACGCUGGCGGCAGGCCUAACACAUGCAAGUCGAACGAGUGGCGGACGGGUGAGUAAUGUCUGGGAAACUGCCCGAUGGAGGGGGAUAACUACUGGAAACGGUAGCUAAUACCGCAUACCAUCGGAUGUGCCCAGAUGGGAUUAGCUGGUAGGUGAGGUAACGGCUCACCUAGGCAACGAUCCCUAGCUGGUCUGAGAGGAUGACCAGGCAACAGGGAACUGCGACAGGGUGCAGACAGCUACGGGGGGCAGGAGGGGGGAAUAUGGUAAAAGUGGCGCAAGCCAUGUGAAGCCAUGCCGCGUGUAAGAAGAAGGCGUUCGGGUUGGAAAGUAAUUUCAGCGGGGAAGCGUUACCCGCAGAAGAAGCACCGGCGAACUCCAGGCCAGCAGCCGCGGUAAUAC
rnacentral:rRNA from 1 species